GAUGAACGCUAGCGGCAGGCUUAACACAUGCAAGUCGAGGGGUAUAGAAAGCUUGCUUUCUAGAGACCGGCAAACGGGUGCGGAACACGUACACAACCUACCUUUAACAGGGGGAUAGCCUUCGGAAACGGAGAUUAAUACCCCAUAGUAAUAUGGAGUGGCAUCAUUUUAUAAUUAAAGAAUUUCGGAUAGAGAUGGGUGUGCGUAAGAUUAGCUAGUUGGUGAGGUAAAGGCUCACCAAGGCAACGAUCUUUAGCUGAUGUGAGAGCAUGAUCAGCCACACGGGCACUGAGACACGGGCCCGACUCCUACGGGAAGCAGCAGUGAGGAAUAUUGGUCAAUGGACGGAAGUCUGAACCAGCCAUGCCGCGUGAAGGAUGAAGGCGUUCUGCGUUGUAAACUUCUUUUAUUUAGGAAGAAACCACUUUUUUUUAAGAGUGUUGACGGUAUUAAAUGAAUAAGCACCGGCUAACUCCGUGCCAGCAGCCGCUGUAACAC
rnacentral:rRNA from 1 species